rnacentral:rRNA from 1 species
AUGGCAUGGUGCUCCCGCGCCUGGCUCACGCUGUUUCUUCUUGCGUGUUGUGCCCUUGUGCAGAGGUCCUACGGCUCGAGACUGUCUCCCCGGGAGCCGAAGAAUCCCGGGGUCCUGUCUCCACCGAUGAUUCACGGCGCCGUCGAGACGGAACCACGCCGCCGCGAUGAUGGGGCGACCGAAGUCCGGCCGUCGACGGUGAAGGGUACGACUGGUCAUCAUGGAGCAGACGCUGACGGUGGUGGUGAGUCGUCGGAGCAGAGGAAGGGUUCAAGGCCGCCGGUGCUGCAGCAGGCGCUGGGAAGGAUGUUGGGUUCGAAGCUGGCGCGGCGGAUCCUGGGAGGGGAGGCGGAGGACUCGGCGGCCGGGCCGUCGUGCCACUCCAACAACGCGCACAUCACCUGUGCCCCGCCGGCGCAACACUGA